CGCCGUUCCAUCUUCUCUUCUCGCUGUUCUCUGGUCCCCUCGCCUUUGGUAACUUUCUACUACUCUUUCUAUUCAGCAACUUGGAAACUGAUUGCUUUAGAUUUUAAUACUCUUGAUCGAAUGUUUGUCUCCCGUUUCUUCUACAGGACCGCCUGACCUUUUCCCACUGGUACUCGAGCUCCAGUCCUUGUCUCCAAGUUUUGUCUGGUUCCGGCUGCCGAGCUACGAGGUGGCUGAGGAGUGAUGCUAAGGAUUAAAAGGACAAUGCCGGUACCAGUGGCGGGGAAAGGAAAGAGAAGAAAAGAUGGAGCUUUGGGAGGUUUGGAAGGGGCUCCAGCGAAGGGGAGAUGCACAAUCCCGUGCCGGCGGCAGAUUCGGAAGGGUUGGAGGUGGGACGAACGGGAACGGCAUGGGAGGCGGCGUGGACGAACGAGAACGGCGUGGGAGGCGG
rnacentral:lncRNA from 1 species